UAGGGAAUCUUCCGCAAUGGACGCAAGUCUGACGGAGCAACGCCGCGUGAGUGAAGAAGGAUUUCGGUUCGUAAAACUCUGUUGUUAGAGAAGAACAGCGCAUAGAGUAACUGUUAUGCGUGUGACGGUAUCUAACCAGAAAGCCACGGCUAACUACGUGCCAGCAGCCGCGGUAAUACGUAGGUGGCAAGCGUUGUCCGGAUUUAUUGGGCGUAAAGCGAGCGCAGGCGGUCAAUUAAGUCGGAUGUGAAAGCCCCCGGCUCAACCGGGGAGGGUCAUUGGAAACUGGUUGGCUUGAGUGCGGAAGAGGAGAGUGGAAUUCCAUGUGUAGCGGUGAAAUGCGUAGAUAUAUGGAGGAACACCAGUGGCGAAGGCGACUCUCUGGUCUGUAACUGACGCUGAGGCUCGAAAGCGUGGGUAGCAAACAGG
rnacentral:rRNA from 1 species